rnacentral:rRNA from 1 species
AUUGAACGCUGGCGGAAUGCUUUACACAUGCAAGUCGAACGGCAGCACGGGGGCAACCCUGGUGGCGAGUGGCGAACGGGUGAGUAAUACAUCGGAACGUGCCCAGUCGUGGGGAUAACGUAGCGAAAGCUACGCUAAUACCGCAUACGAUCUACGGAUGAAAGCGGGGGUACUCGCAAGAGCCUCGCGCGAUUGGAGCGGCCGAUGGCAGAUUAGGUAGUUGGGUGGGGAAAGGCCUCACCAAGCCAACGAUCUGUAGCUGGUCUGAGAGGACGACCAGCCACACUGGGACU